UCGUAAAAGUGGGCGAGGCUUGUUUGGGUUCUUAGCUUUCCGAAGAUGAAAAGAGAUCGUCGAUAAAACACGUAGGGCUUACUGUGCAUAAAAAUCAAGAAGAAGAGGAUAAAAUACGAGUAGGAGACGCACCAAACGUUUUUUACCAACCGCCGUUAAAAAUCAAGAAGCACAAAGAGAUGGAAGUUAUAAACCUGAAUUGGACAAAAUAAGAAUCAGCAGGUCAGACCAACUUGGCUUUAUCUAAUUUUAAUGUGUGCAUAUUCAGACAACCAAGUCGUGCCUACCCCCACCCCCGCCUCCGCCUCCAUCUUGUGAGACCAAGCCACCUAGAGGCUGUUCUCCACCGCGUCCUCAAUAUGCCGCAGUGCCUUUUAUAUGUGAUUCAAGGCAUCCAGUCCAAGAGACAGGCGAUCAGGGAGACAAUUCACAUAACGUCCAGCUGAGCCAGAACACUAGUGCUCCACCCCAGCACACAGACAACAGCACACCUCCACCUCCACAUGGAGAGGAGGACACAGAGACCGACGGGGGGGAAGAAGCAACACCCAGUCCAGGAAACUGACCCCCCACCCCAGGCGUAUGAGAACCCCCAGCCUUCUGAGACCCCAAAUCCUGAAGGAAAUGUCAGUAUGAUGGAUGAAGAUGAUGACAUUCAGCAUUCAAGAAGUGCUUAAGUUGUGUUCAGAAUAUAUACUGUGUUCAGUUGAAAUGAUUAUGCCCAUAGGGACAAAUUAGAGGAAUUGUUUUCCUAUUUUUAGACUGUCUAAAUAUUGGGCUACAGUAAAACCGACACUGUUUUUACUCUGUUCAUAGCAGAUCUUUUCUUUUUAAGAUGUUUUCUUAUCCCACAGAUAAUUAACUGUGGGAUAACUGUGCAAUGUAGAAGUAAAUUUGGGCACACUCGAUAACCUUGAAGCACAUGAUUAGUCAGAGACAUCUUGCUACGGCACAAUGAGCUGUCAGUUUUCUUCUACUUUUCCUUCACUUGCAGUUCCACAGGGGGACAGUUGGCUCAAUUCAUUUUGUGGACAUAAUACCAUUGAGAGCUGUGCAUACAUUUUUUUUUUUUUGUGAUUCUUUUGCUACACGGAGGUAUGAGAAAAUGAACUCUGUCUAUCCCUUUGUGUUUUAGACAUGAGAUGAAGACUGACACACAGCUUCAAGCAUUACUUAUUUGGGCAUUCUGAAAGUGGAACCUUAAAAUUUCAUUAUUUCAUUAAAGAAAUGCCUCUGGAAAGUUUUCAAACAGGUGACCAGACAGGGAACACUGAUAAUUUUGGUUUGGAAAACCAAACCAAAUUUUUCUGGCUUUUACCAAAAGGUCAAAGCCAGAAUAGAAUUGUGGGAGUUUUAUGUAUGUUACCAUAUAUAGGGAGUGAGUGGUGUCAAAUGAAGGACAGAUAGACAAGGAUGCAUAACGCAAACUCUGAAGUUUGGUUUCUCCUCUGUUAAAUUCAUACUAGUCAAAAGUUUUUUUUUUAAAAAAGGCCUGUUUUCCAAGUGAGAGUUGCACAACUUCAGCUUCCACACUUUAAGCUAUUUAAAAAGUAAAAUUACAAAAGGAAUGUCAUUCAUUGCUUUCAAUCUAAUUAAAUUGAAAGGCUGGUAAUUAUGGUAGAGUAUUUAUUUAUUAAAAAUGCACUAAGUUCUAAUGAAAAUUACCUGUGUAACAGCAAACUAUUAUGUCAAGUCAGAAGAUAAAGCUUUAAGUUUUGAGGCAUGGUAAAUGGAUCUUGAUGCUGGAUUAUAAUAAACAAGAGGCUAGAUAAUAAAUAAUAGAUCACCAAAGAAAAGAGUGUCAGAGUUGUGUAAUACCAGAUUUAAAGUGAAUUGUUAUUUUGUUUUUGCAGUGGGUAGUUACUUCUCAGAUUGAAAUUCAUGCUGUUGGUUUAUUUUUAUGUUAAAACAUCUGCUUAGCUCAUAUUUCCAUACUUUAACACACCAUGUGUAAUGCUGGUUGGCUUUGUUUUGUAUUUUUACAUGAUAACUAUGUCUCACUUUGAGAAUUUUUGUUGUUUUAGUUUGUUGAUAUAUUUUUAUUCAAUAUGUACCUUUAGGAUUUAUUUUUUUCCACUGUCACUUGUGGAAAAAAAUAUGCAUGCAUGCAUAGGAUGGGAUAAUGUAUUGAAGUAAAUAAUCGAUACUUUCCUUUAAUUUUCUUUGAAUUGGACUGAGUAGAAAUGUAACUUCUAUUACUUGAGUUUCUCUAAAACAAUAUUUGUUGAGAAAUGACAGUAUAUGAAUAAACUGAAUUAAAUUUUAGACUA